rnacentral:tRNA from 1 species
GCGCCUGUAGCUCAGGGGAUAGAGCAUUCGCCUCCUAAGCGAAGGGUCGGACGUUCGAUUCGUCUCAGGCGCGCCA